UACGUAGGGUGCGAGCGUUGUCCGGAAUUAUUGGGCGUAAAGAGCUCGUAGGCGGUGUGUCACGUCGAUCGUGAAAACUUACAGCUUAACUGUGAGCGUGCGGUCGAUACGGGCAUCACUGGAGUUCGGUAGGGGAGUCUGGAAUUCCUGGUGUAGCGGUGAAAUGCGCAGAUAUCAGGAGGAACACCGGUGGCGAAGGCGGGACUCUGGGCCGAUACUGACGCUGAGGAGCGAAAGCGUGGGGAGCGAACAGG
rnacentral:rRNA from 1 species